rnacentral:lncRNA from 1 species
UAGAAUUUCUUAUUAUAGUUAUAAUUAUUUUUUAAAAUAUAUUAGAUUAUUACCGAUUAAUCAUAAAUUUUUUAAAUAAUAAUUAUUUAAUGUUAAUAUAAUAUAUAUUUUUACCAAUAAUUCAAAAUGCUAUUAUACGUAAUUGUUUAGUAAUAUUUGAUUAUUAUUAACUAUGAUUAUAAUAAUUAAUCAAAAAUUAAUAAUAUUUUAAUUUAAUUAAUAUCAAAAUUUAUAAUUAAUAAAAUAUUUUUAUUUAAUUCAAAAAAUAAUAGCUAAAUUAAUACAAGAAUUAAUUAAAC